CAGGUGUCUGGGAUGGGGGGAGACCUGGUGUCUGGGAUGGGGGGAGACCUGGUGUCCGGGAUGGGGGGAGACCUGGUGUCUGGGAUGGGGCCCAGGCGUCCGGGAUGGGGGGAGACCUGGUGUCCGGGAUGGGGGGAGACCUGGUGUCCGGGAUGGGGGGGGACCCGGUGUCCGGGAUGGGGGGGGACCCGGUGUCCGGGAUGGGGCCCAGGCGUCCACAAAGGGGGCCCAGGUGUCCGGGAAGGGGCCCAAGCGUCCAGGACAGGGUGGGGCCUGGUGUCCGGGAUGGGGCCCCGGUGUCCGGGACGGGGGGGGACCUGGUGUCCGGGAUGGGGCCCAGGCGUCCGGGAGGGGCCCUGGUGUCCGGGAUGGGACCCAGGCGUCUGGGACGGGGGGGGGACCUGGUGUCCAGGAUGGGGCCCAGGUGUCCAAGAUGGGGCCCAGGUGUCCGGGUUGGGGGCCCAGGCGUCCGGGAGGGGCCCUGGCGUCCGGGAUGGGGCCCAGGUGUCCGGGUCAAGGGCCCAGGUGUCCAGGAUGGGGCCCAGGUGUCCGGGUCAGGGGCCCAGGCAUCCAGGACGGGGGGGGACCCGGUGGCCGGGAAGGGGCCCAGGCGUCCGGGGAAAGGGCCCAGGCAUCCGGGACGGGGCCCCUGGUGUCCAGGAUGGGGGCCCAGGUGUCCGGGAAGGGGCCCAGACGUCCGGGAUGAGGGCCCAGGCGUCCUGGAAGGGGCCCAGGCGUCUGGGAAGGGCCCCAGGUGUCCGGGACGGGGACCCAACAUCUGGGAUAGGGGCCCCAGUGUCUGGGGAAAGGGCCCAGGCGUCCGGGAAGGGGCCCAGGCAUCCAGGAAGGGGCCCAGGCGUCUGGGCCGAGCCCCCCCCCCCCACACACACACCUGUAGGGCAGCAGGUGGAGGCCGAACGGAGCCACCAGCUUGAUCAGCAGCGUGGGCAGGAUGUCGGCCAGCAGCACCGCCUGCAGGGGGCGGGGCCGGGGUGAGCCACGCCCCCAGGGUGAGGCCACGCCCCCUCGGAUAGGCCAC
rnacentral:lncRNA from 1 species